rnacentral:rRNA from 1 species
GGACGAACGCUGGCGGCAUGCCUAACACAUGCAAGUCGAACGGAGCUUAAGAAGCUUGCUUUUAAGCUUAGUGGCGGACGGGUGAGUAACGCGUGAGCAACCUGCCUUUCAGUGGGAAUAAUGUCUUGAAAAGGACACUAAUACCGCAUAACGUAUAACGGUCGCAUGGCCGAUAUACCAAAGAUUUAUCGCUGAGAGAUGGGCUCGCGUCCGAUUAGCCAGUUGGUGGGGUAACGGCCUACCAAAGCUACGAUCGGUAGCCGGACUGAGAGGUUGAACGGCCACAUUGGGACUGAGACACGGCCCAGACUCCUACGGGAGGCAGCAGUGGGGGAUAUUGCGCAAUGGGGGAAACCCUGACGCCAGCAAUGCCGCGUGAAGGAUGAAGGUCUUCGGAUUGUAAACUUCUUUUGUCAGGGACGAAAAUGACGGUACCUGACGAAUAGGCUCCGGCUAACUACGUGCCAGCAGCCGC